GCAAGUCGAGCGAGAAAGGCCUUCGGGCUGAGUACAGCGGCGGACGGGUGAGUAACGCGUAGGAAUCUACCCAGUAGUGGGGGACAACUUGGGGAAACCCAAGCUAAUACCGCAUACGCCCUAUGGGGGAAAGCGGGGGAUCUUCGGACCUCGCGCUAUUGGAUGAGCCUGCGUCGGAUUAGCUAGUUGGUGGGGUAAAAGCCUACCAAGGCGACGAUCCGUAGCUGGUCUGAGAGGAUGAUCAGCCACACUGGAACUGAGACACGGUCCAGACUCCUACGGGAGGCAGCAGUGGGGAAUAUUGCGCAAUGGGGGCAACCCUGACGCAGCCAUGCCGCGUGUGUGAAGAAGGCCCUAGGGUUGUAAAGCACUUUCAAUUGGGAAGAAAAGCUGCUGGUUAAUAACCAGUAGCCCUGACAUUACCUUUAGAAGAAGCACCGGCUAACUCCGUGCCAGCAGCCGCGGUAAUACGGAGGGUGCGAGCGUUAAUCGGAAUUACUGGGCGUAAAGCGCGCGUAGGUGGUUUGUUAAGUCAGCUGUGAAAGCCCCGGGCUC
rnacentral:rRNA from 1 species